CCUUGUACACACCGCCCGUCAAGCCACCCGAGUGGGUCGCACCCGAAGUCACAGACCCAACCGCAAGGAGGGAUGUGCCGAAGGUGAGGUCCGUGAGGGGGACU
rnacentral:rRNA from 1 species